CCUACGGGGGGCAGCAGUGGGGAAUAUUGGACAAUGGGGGCAACCCUGAUCCAGCCAUGCCGCGUGUGUGAAGAAGGCCCUCGGGUUGUAAAGCACUUUCAGUGAGGAAGAACACCUGGUGGUUAAUACCCAUCAGGAAAGACAUCACUCACAGAAGAAGCACCGGCUAACUCCGUGCCAGCAGCCGCGGUAAUACGGAGGGUGCGAGCGUUAAUCGGAAUUACUGGGCGUAAAGCGCGCGUAGGUGGCUUGAUAAGCCGGUUGUGAAAGCCCCGGGCUCAACCUGGGAACGGCAUCCGGAACUGUCAAGCUAGAGUGCAGGAGAGGAAGGUAGAAUUCCCGGUGUAGCGGUGAAAUGCGUAGAGAUCGGGAGGAAUACCAGUGGCGAAGGCGGCCAUCUGGACUGACACUGACACUGAGGUGCGAAAGCGUGGGUAGCAAACAGGAUUAGAUACCCUUGUAGUC
rnacentral:rRNA from 1 species